GAUGAACGCUAGCUACAGGCUUAGCACAUGCAAGUCGAGGGGCAGCACUAGGUAGCAAUACUGAGGUGGCGACCGGCGCACGGGUGCGUAACGCGUAUCCAACCUUCCCGUUACUCUUGGAUAGCCUUCCGAAAGGGAGAUUAAUACAAGAUGGUAUUCAAAUUCCGCAUGUUAUUUGAAUUAAAGAUUUAUCGGUAACGGAUGGGGAUGCGUGACAUUAGAUAGUAGGCGGGGUAACGGCCCACCUAGUCUACGAUGUCUAGGGGUUCUGAGAGGAAGGUCCCCCACACUGGAACUGAGACACGGUCCAGACGCCUACGGGAGGCAGCAGUGAGGAAUAUUGGUCAAUGGUCGGAAGACUGAACCAGCCAAGUAGCGUGAAGGAUGAAGGUUCUAUGGAUUGUAAACUUCUUUUAUACGGGAAUAAAACCUCCCACGUGUGGGAGCUUGUAUGUACCGUAUGAAUAAGCAUCGGCUAACUCCGUGCCAGCCGCCGCCGUAACAC
rnacentral:rRNA from 1 species